CUUAUUAUGCCAAAAGUUUAUUGUCGUAACCAUGCCCAACUUAGCAUAAACAUGAACAAAAAGAUUGAACAAAACCUUUCUCGAGUUUUCAGACUAUGUCGUAUAUUGUAUAUAAUAGAGAGAUUAUGAUACCGCGGUUCCGUUCUACGGCUAUCAGUUUCACUCGUACCGGAAUAUCUUGGAUUAAGUUGCAAGUCGUACCCGUAAACCGGAACCGGGGUAUCUUAACCUCACUAUUAUCUGAAUGCUAGGUCUUACUUAGUUCGGUCAAAAAGAGUAUGGAAUGUGCCGCCUAAAGAAAUACGAAGAAACACAAUGUCUCUGUCUUCUUUCAAAUCUUUAUUGAGAGAAUAUUACCAGAACGCAUUAAACCACACUUAUGACCCUGAGGAUGCACGAACAUAGAAGACAGUUCACAUUAAGUGUAGUCUCCUGGUUUGUAUAUAGUCGUUAAUAACUUCGCUAGUACCUAAGCUUAUUUGUUUUCAGUUCGUACGAUAUUUAGUACGAUGUAAUACAUGUAAUGGACCCGCAGCAAAUAGCCUUAGCUGUUGCGGGCUCCAAGCCUGAGAGACAAAGUGUAAAUAAAUAAAUAAUGCAUGAUAGUGCAAAUAUGGUAUAGGUUGGCUACCAAUAGAAUAGAGACCUUACGGGACUCACAGAAGGCCGACUUCAUGCUUUUGCCUAUAUUUUGAUGGUAAUAUUUUGCCGUAACCGUUGAAAAGAUUCAAAAUGGCAGACGUUCAGGGGGGAGGUGAAUGCCUCUCGUAAGCGCACUGCCGGUUAGAAACAGUGCAUUUUGAUGACCAUUAUGACGUGGCGUGGCGGUGGUUACGCUUUUUUGGCUGAGUCGGCCUUCUAUAAGGUCUAUAUUCUGUGACGCAGGCUAGCUACCAGUGGUUUCGGGUUGGGUUUUCAGGCGAGAGAAUUAAGGCUACUCUACAUUUUGUCGUAAGCCAACCUACUGUUUGAUCUAUUUUAUGCUGUUGAGCACUAUCUAACAUUUAGUGAAUCAAAAUGUACAUUUUCAGCAAAAUUGCUUACGUGAUCAUGUAUUCACAAAACUUGUAAAUCGUAAUG